UUGAAAGGGAAACGAUUGAAGUCAGUCGUACCUGUGGGUAAUCAGCCUUUUGGGUGUGAUUUUGUGGAGUGUGAGGAGUUAAACGCCUUCAUGCCUGCAUAUUCGUGCGCUUUGGGUGUAUUUACCCGUGUGGUAAGUUAACAUCAAUUUCGGUGGUCAUAAAAUGGCUGGAGGAAUGUAGCUUUGAUCUCGUAUUGAAGUGUUAUAGCCUUCGGUAGAUGUGAUAAUCGGGAUUGAGGAUUGCAACGGAUACCCUUCGGGGCUACCUGUCUGAUCUCUGAUCGUUGCUCUGGUGCCGAAAGCUUGCUUACGGUCAUCAAAGUCGAUGGUCAAUAGGUUAGAAUGGGUUAAAUUCGUUAAGGAUGUUGACGUA
rnacentral:rRNA from 1 species